rnacentral:rRNA from 1 species
AUGGAUAGUGCCGCCUUCUGCUCAAUCCGCACGCUCUCCUGGAAUGUCCAGGGUUUGGGCGAUUGGGAUAAGUGUGAUGUGGUUAAUAACUUGCUAUGUUCCUCUAAUCCCAGCUUUGUUUGCAUCCAAGAGUCUAAGCUUGCUUAUCUUGACGCCCGUAAAGCCGUCUCUUUCCUUCCCCAGCACCUCACGCAGUUUGUCGCCAAAAAUGCGGACGGGAGCCAUGGCGGCAUUAUCACCGCGUGGGAUCCUUCAUCCUUCACGCCCGUCUCCUCCUUCGAGUCUAGCUACUCUGUCUUCAUCGCUCUCACGUGCUCUUCCUCGGGGGUGACCAUUACCCUAACUAACGUUUAUGCCCCCUCCGACCACUCUUUCUCCGAAAAUUUCGUUGAGGACAUGCUCGCGACCCCUCCUAGGGUCCUCGGGCCCUGGCUCGUUGUGGGGGAUUUCAAUCUCAUUCGUCAUCCUAGCGAGAAGACAGGGGGGAAUUUUGAUGCUGCGCGUGCUGCUUGUUUCAAGUCCCUUGUGAAUGCCCUAGCUCUGCAUGAGCUGCACCUUUCGGACCGCUCCUUCACGUGGACCAAUCGA